GAAAUGCGAUAAGUAAUGUGAAUUGCAGAAUUCAGUGAAUCAUCGAAUCUUUGAACGCACAUUGCGCCCGCCAGCACUCUGGCGGGCAUGCCUGUUCGAGCGUCAUUUCAACCCUCAGAACCCCUUGCGGGAUCUGGCGUUGGGGAUUGGCAUCCAGCCAGCCCCGAAAGCUAGUGGCGGUCCCUCCGCGACCUCCUCUGUGCAGUAGCGAUACCUCGCAGCGGGACAGCGGUCUGACCACGCCGUAAAACCCCCAACUUCUCAAGGUUGACCUCGAAUCAGGUAGGAAUACCCGCUGAACUUAAGC
rnacentral:misc_RNA from 1 species